rnacentral:rRNA from 1 species
UACGUAGGGGACAAGCGUUGUCCGGAAUUAUUGGGCGUAAAGAGCGUGUAGGCGGCCAGGUAGGUCUGCUGUGAAAACUCGAGGCUCAACCUCGAGACGUCGGCGGAAACCAUCUGGCUAGAGUCCGGAAGAGGAGAGUGGAAUUCCGCGUGUAGCAGUGAAAUGCGUAGAUAUGCGGAGGAACACCGAUGGCGAAGGCAAUCCCCUGGGCCUGCACUGACGCUCAUGCACGAAAGCGUGGGGAGCAAACAGG